UGUUUCGGCAAGGGGGUCAUCCCGACUUACCAACCCGAUGCAAACUGCGAAUACCGGAGAAUGUUAUCACGGGAGACACACGGCGGGUGCUAACGUCCGUCGUGAAGAGGGAAACAACCCAGACCGCCAGCUAAGGUCCCAAAGUCAUGGUUAAGUGGGAAACGAUGUGGGAAGGCCCAGACAGCCAGGAUGUUGGCUUAGAAGCAGCCAUCAUUUAAAGAAAGCGUAAUAGCUCACUGGUCGAGUCGGCCUGCGCGGAAGAUGUAACGGGGCUAAACCAUGCACCGAAGCUGCGGCAGCGACGCUUAUGCGUUGUUGGGUAGGGGAGCGUUCUGUAAGCCUGUGAAGGUGUACUGUGAGGUAUGCUGGAGGUAUCAGAAGUGCGAAUGCUGACAUAAGUAACGAUAAAGCGGGUGAAAAGCCCGCUCGCCGGAAGACCAAGGGUUCCUGUCCAACGUUAAUCGGGGCAGGGUGAGUCGACCCCUAAGGCGAGGCCGAAAGGCGUAGUCGAUGGGAAACAGGUUAAUAUUCCUGUACUUGGUGUUACUGCGAAGGGGGGACGGAGAAGGCUAUGUUGGCCGGGCGACGGUUGUCCCGGUUUAAGCGUGUAGGCUGGUUUUCCAGGCAAAUCCGGAAAAUCAAGGCUGAGGCGUGAUGACGAGGCACUACGGUGCUGAAGCAACAAAUGCCCUGCUUCCAGGAAAAGCCUCUAAGCAUCAGGUAACAUCAAAUCGUACCCCAAACCGACACAGGUGGUCAGGUAGAGAAUACCAAGGCGCUUGAGAGAACUCGGGUGAAGGAACUAGGCAAAAUGGUGCCGUAACUUCGGGAGAAGGCACGCUGAUAUGUAGGUGAAGUCCCUCGCGGAUGGAGCUGAAAUCAGUCGAAGAUACCAGCUGGCUGCAACUGUUUAUUAAAAACACAGCACUGUGCAAACACGAAAGUGGACGUAUACGGUGUGACGCCUGCCCGGUGCCGGAAGGUUAAUUGAUGGGGUUAGCGGUAACGCGAAGCUCUUGAUCGAAGCCCCGGUAAACGGCGGCCGUAACUAUAACGGUCCUAAGGUAGCGAAAUUCCUUGUCGGGUAAGUUCCGACCUGCACGAAUGGCGUAAUGAUGGCCAGGCUGUCUCCACCCGAGACUCAGUGAAAUUGAACUCGCUGUGAAGAUGCAGUGUACCCGCGGCAAGACGGAAAGACCCCGUGAACCUUUACUAUAGCUUGACACUGAACAUUGAGCCUUGAUG
rnacentral:rRNA from 1 species